CCUACGGGCGGCAGCAGUGGGGGAUAUUGCACAAUGGGGGGAACCCUGAUGCAGCGACGCCGCGUGGGUGAAGGAGUGCUUCGGCAUGUAAAGCCCUAUCGGCAGGGAAGAAGCAAGACGGUACCUGACUAAGAAGCCCCGGCUAACUACGUGCCAGCAGCCGCGGUAAUACGUAGGGGGCGAGCGUUAUCCGGAUUCACUGGGUGUAAAGGGAGCGUAGACGGCCAUGCAAGCCAGGGGUGAAAGCCCGGGGCCCAACCCCGGGACUGCCCUUGGAACUGCAUGGCUGGAGUGCGGGAGGGGCAGGCGGAAUUCCUGGUGUAGCGGUGAAAUGCGUAGAUAUCAGGAGGAACACCGGCGGCGAAGGCGGCCUGCUGGACCGCGACUGACGUUGAGGCUCGAAAGCGUGGGGAGUGAACAGGAUUAGAUACCCUGGUAGUC
rnacentral:rRNA from 1 species